rnacentral:rRNA from 1 species
UACGUAGGUGGCAAGCGUUGUCCGGAUUUACUGGGCGUAAAGAGCGCGCAGGCGGUCGUUCAAGUCGCGUGUGAAAGCCCCCGGCUCAACUGGGGAGGGUCACGCGAUACUGAUCGACUCGAAGGCAGGAGAGGGUAGUGGAAUUCCCGGUGUAGUGGUGAAAUGCGUAGAUAUCGGGAGGAACACCAGUGGCGAAGGCGACUACCUGGCCUGUUCUGACGCUGAGCGCGAAAGCUAGGGGAGCAAACGGG